rnacentral:lncRNA from 1 species
CUCAUCCUGCACCAGGCCGUCAACGUGAUCCUAAACCUGGAGCAACAAGUCCGUGAACGCAACCUGAACCCAAAAGCGGCAUGUCUGAAGCGACGUGAAGAGGAGAAAGUGUCCGGGGUGGUAGGAGACACUCAAAUGCAGCUGUCCGGACCGCAUCCAGGACUGGGAGGAGAUGGGCGCAUGUGAUCAUGUGAUCAGUGAAAUUUCUUGGGGCUCCUGGAAGAAGUGACCUUGAAUCUCUUCCACCGUUCUCAUCCUCUCUGUGUGCAUCUAGUGACUUCCACGAAAUCAGAGAUGCACCCUCCAAACAACCUUUUGGACACACGAAUCGACCCACCAAAACUGACACAGCAGAUUUUGUCCGUGAUCACUCUAGACCGCAAUUACCAGCAAAAAUAAAGAAUUUUGAACAAGAGACGAGAAAGACGUCAGUUUAAUCAUGGAUUUGUGCCUAAUUGUUACGUUUUAUAAAAGACUCAAACUGCUUACUUGUACGGAACAAAAAAAAGUUUGGGAGUUGGUUGUAUAUGAGGAUUUUUUUGUUUUUGUCAUUCCCU